CGUCUGACCCCCUGAACUCUCCCACCCCCCAUGGUGGAGAGGGGCUGCUUUAUUUCUCCUGCCCCCUGAGCUCUGACCUGGGCGGCAUCCAUCUCCUGAGAACCCUCCACUUCCCCUGGCCUCUCUCCCUACCACAUCUGUUUCCCGUCAGGUUCCAGCUGUGGUUCCCCUCUGCCGGCCCUGCCCCCCAGGAGAAGAAAACACUAAUGGGCUUUGCCUCACUGAGGGCGGGGGGUGGGGGGGCGGGAAUGGCCCUGGGGUGAUCAAUUCCAGCUGCUGGAUGUUUUCCCUCCACAGAGGGGAGUUGCCUUGACAGCUUCCCCACCUCCUCCACCCAGUGCCUGGGCAGGGAGGAGCCAGGACCCAAGGAAGGAAGGGGCACUGAUAGGGUCAUGGCCAAGGAGUGAGGACAGCCAGGACAUGCGUUGCAGGGGCUUUUCCACAGGGACUCAUCUGGUCCUCCUGCUCCCAGCUGCCCCCUCUACAAAUUAGUAAUAGCAAUUAUAUGUGUAUUAGUAAUAAUACAUGUUAAUACUGACCAACACUUUGCUCUUUGUGUGACAGCCGCUGCUGUCAUAAGGUGAUCACUUUGCACAUAUGACCUUAUUUAUUUACUCUUCACAAUAAUGCCAUCAAGUAGCCCAUUGUAUAGAGAAGAAAAAUUGAGGCACAAAGAGGCUAAGUGACUUGGGAGAGGUCACACGCAAUUACAAAGUCUUGCAGAACUCUUUACGUUUAGAAAGUAACUUAAAACAGUCGUCUCAUUGACUUGUGUCCCUAUCACACAUACAGCACAUAUUAUUAAACCGCACCCCCCCCACCCAGGUUACACAAGGUUCUAGAGGAGAAAGUUCUUACCCAACAGCCCUUGGCAGAUAAGUGAAGCUGCAGGCACCUGGCAAGACUCUUAAUGUCUUGGAGCCUCAGUUUCUUCAUCUGUAAUAUAUGAGGAUAAUAAUAUGCCCCUCUCAGGAGGUUAGGUGGUAUGAUUUAUGCGGCUGCAGUUUGCAAAGUGUAAAUCCUGGAGAGCAAGGGUGGUGUCAGGUCUGCGUGGUUGGGCCUCUCUGGCCCCCCCGGAAGGUGGGUUCAGGGAGGGGCCCAGGCCAGCAUGAAGAGUAGGAAAGGGGAGCUGGCCGGGGGGAGGGGAGACUUCAGAGCCUCCUACAUGGGACCUACCUAUGGGAGCGAGCAGAGAGUCUCUGUGUGGCUGGGAUCACUGGGAUUGGUGUAUGGGGACCCAGACUUCAGCCCAAGAUUGGGGGGCACUUCCUUCAGCACAGGCAAUGAGCUGAGCCAGGGAACUCAGCUGACAGCUCCCCAGCCCUGGAGCGUGUAGGCGGUACCCAUGGGAUCCUGUAGGUGUCCAUCUGGAGAGCAGGGGAUGUGACAUUCCCAGACCUUCCAGCAUGGAACUGUGGCUUCAACUUUCAGUGACCUCUCCCAGCUGGUAUUCCCCUCCUAUUAGUAAUAAUCAUAAACAGCAUUAAUAACAUUUAUGUGCUAUGCUCUUUCUAUUCAUGAUCUUCCUGGCAUUGUAACAACAGUCUCAAGAGCAAAGUGUUGUUGACGUCCCCUUUCACAGACGAAGAAGUGGAGGAUCAGAGGUGUCAGGUUUGACAUGAAGCCAAACGCUUUCUCCUCUCUCCUGGCCAGGAAAGCCAGUCAUCUGAAAGCUUCUGGAGAUGAGGCCAAGGCUUCUGCCUCUUUUCCAGGUCUUCCCAGCGUGGCUUUAGGCCUAGAAGCACAGGGAUGGUCUCUAUGACCCUGGAUCAGAACCCAGCCCACCCACAGUCUAUACCCUCACCUCCUAGAUCCCUCUGACUCAUCCAUGCCUCCAACUGUCAGCUUUAGGCCAGGUACUGAAUACUUGGGCAGAAAAGUUAGUGUGCCACUUUUGAGCAGUUUGCAGCCUGCCUAGGGGACAGCGCUCCUGCUCAGCUUAUUCCAGGAUCAUCCUGGGUCAUGGUUGCUGGCCCCAAGGCUCCCUUGGCCCACACCAGCCUGCAGUUCCUGCCCCUCUCCUUGGCAUGUGGCUCUGAGCUGGCCCUAACCGGCUUCCUUUGAGUCUCCCCAGGUCUAUUCAGGGGACCCUGCUGCAGGGAGGGGUUCUGGGCCAAGAUUCUGGCUGCCAGCUAGGAAACUAUCUGCCUCAGGAGGUGUGCCUAAAAGCCUCCAUACAUCUUCCAGAGAAACAGGUCUUUGCUGGCUUUUGAGAGCCAGGAUGAGAGGGACAGAGGGAGCGGGGAAGCCCCGUGUAUAACAGAAAUAUGUUUGUAUGUGCCCAACACUGCUCAGUUUACAGACAUCUAGAUACUGACUCCUCCCUGCAAACAAGCUCAACAGUCACCCACUUUACAGAUGUGGAAAUGGAAGCUCUCUGAGGCCACAUUGUGAAUGAGUGGUAUCAUAGGUCUAGCUUUUCUUGGGGCCUCGGUUUCCCUGUUAAGAAGCAUCUAGGCACUCAUCAAACAGGGCAGGUGCUGUGCCAGGCUCAGGGAUCAGGGACAAAUUAGAACACUGGCAGCUGACCACACAGAGCUAAGGGUUCAAUUACUCUAAGCCUGAAACACCGGGACUGUGUCGAGGUUAAACACCCUUUGAGUCUUGAGGCCACAGGAGCAGUUGUGUGGGUGACAAGUGACCUGGGAAGAGGCAGUGGAUGCUGGGAAUCAGGAGAUAUGACUUGGGCCUCCCUUGUGCUGGACCCUGGUUUCAUCAUCUGGUUAAUGUCUGUGCACCGUUGUCCUGCCUCUGUCCUGGGCUUUAGUGAGCUUCAAAUGGUGGCCGCUCAGAGAUCACGGGGGAGGGCGAAGUGGCAUCUAGACCCAGGGCUCUGGGUAAAAGCCUCCCAUAGCCCUAGCCCCAGCCCAAGGCCUCAGCCAUGCCUCUGGGACUUAGGACACAUGUGUUGCCUGCAGUAGGUGAGAGGCAGGAAGGGUCCUGGGUGCUUCUUGAAACAACCUCUGUGAUUACAGGCGCACGUGCUCUCUCUCCGGGCCCACCCUGUGUAUCUCUCUCCCUCUUCCUGUCUGUCUGUCUGGCGCACUGUCUCUGCCUCUCCCCACAUCUGUCUCACUCUCCCUGCUUCUCUGGUAUUUCUUUCUCUCCACCCUCUCCUCCCCACCCUUGGGCCCGCGUCUACCUUCCUCUCUGCAGAGACCCCUGGAGAAGCCCGAUGGCCUGGACGUGUCUGACCAGAGCAAGGAGCACCCCCAGCACCUGUGCGAGAAGUGCAAGGUGCUGGGCUACUACUGCCGGCGCGUGCAAUGACCCGGCCGCCCACCAUGCCCCACCGCCCUCCUGCCAGCUGGAGAAGACGCAACCACCCUGCAUGUCCCCAAGUGUGCACGUGCAAGGGGGCAUCCUCAAAGGCUUACAGGUCUGGUGGGUGGGCUCUUAUGUUCUUGUAUGUUGACAAACAGUGUUAACUGACGUAGCUGCCGCCCCACAAGGCCCGCUCUCUGCGACUCUCUACAGGUGGGCCUGGGUCUGUGUGGAGGGGACAAGGUGAGCAGAGGUCAGCGCACAGGACCCCACAGAGCCUUCAGCGUCCCCUGCAGGCUCUCCUCUGAGACUCCCUUUUGGGUGAGCAGCCUUACAUUGGCCACAAGUGCACUAAAUUUACUGUGAAUCCCAGAGCCUGCAGGGGACGGUCUCCCAAAACCAGCUAGGUGGCCUUCUCCCACCCAGAACCUUCCAGUUUGCCCUGUGUGAAAAGCCACUCUUGGAAAGCCCUAAUUUUCUAAGUCAGUGCUCAUGGCAAGCUGACUCCUGUUCUAGCAGCUGCUGGGGAGCGGGCAUCUCUGCCCCCUGCCACUUUGAGCCCCAAACCUGACUGCCUCUGAAGCCACUGGCAUUGCACCUGGGCCCCGCACAUCUCCCCUCCCCCUACACCCCAGAGGUCAGGGAUGGGGAGGCACUGAAUGUUGGACGGUGCUCCAGCGUGUGACCUGGGGCACAGAGGGCAACGCCCCCUCCCCCACCACAGACUUCCCUCACGCGUUUGGAUUUUGCCAGCCCUAUCCCCUUCCCUUCUCCUUCCCCUCUCACCCAUGCUGGGGAGCCACACCCGGAAGGAGGCAAUAGGACCCAGCAGGGAAACCACUCUGGCAGGAAGGACCCAGGCCUGGCAGUCCAAAGACCUGGGUUUUAAUGCUGACCCCGCCACUGAUGCACUACAGAGCCUUGAGAAGGAUUCUCACCUCUGGGCCUCUGUUUCCCCACUAAGAGAAAGAGAGAGUGACACCAGAGAGGCCCAUUUCUGUCCUGAUGUUCUGGAAUUCUGCCUGGCUGGGUGCCAUCUCCUGGAGCAGAGAGCUUUAUUUGGAGAGUUUCCCCAGGCUCCCUACCCAUCCCCUUCCCACUAUCACCCAUCAGUCAGUCACUUAAGAAAUCAGGUGGAGGGAUGCAGGUCCUCCCCUGUUGCCCCCUGCAACCCCAGCCAUGUCUUUUGUCCCCUACCCUGCAAACGUGAAGGAGAAAGGUCUCCCCCUCCUUACAGGGCAACCCCAAGACACGCUACAGAACCUCUGGUUUGCAAAGUGGGGACAAUGAUUCCUACCUCCCGAGGGGGCGGAGAGGCCUCCUGGCACUCACACUGGACAGGCCUGCCAAUGCUGUCCUGGCUAGUGGGAAGGAUUGCCUUCCUCUCUGCUCUGUCCCCCAUGAGAAGCCCUAUUUGCUUUGUCAUAUUACCCUUCCUUUCUCCCAGGGCUGGGUCCUUUGAUGUUGCCCCAACAUUAUGCCUCUGUGGGGAAAAAAAAAAAAAAAAAAAAAAAAUCAGACCGCGGAAUGGGCCUGAAAUUCAGUGUUUACCACGGCUCAAGGACACCCAACCUGGGGCCGGUCGUCUUUGGUUUUCAAGUGAAAAUGCUUUGUACAACUGAGGAGUUACGGCAAAGUGUUAAUCAGGGGUCCAGGGAGUGAGUUGAAGAGAUGGAGUUGAGAGUAUUUGCAGCCAGAGGGCUGCAGGGUAGAUUGGGGGGGGCCAAGCCCUCUGAGCACUUAGGAAGGGUGUGUGUGCUCCAGCCUGAGCCCUGUAGCUGCCUCCCUCCAGGCCUGCAGGGGCAGAACGCCCGCCACCAACUGUGAACGUGCUUACCGCCCACUGAAGAAUCCCUCUGCUCCCUGCCUGCUCUACUGUGUCAAGGUGAGCCAGAGUCACCCUGGCCCUGGGUUCUCUGUCCCCGAGAAGCUGUCACUGUCAGUCAUCCUCGUGUCCCUCUAAAGAGAGCAUUCACAAGGGGUGGCAGUGUCCUGGUUUCCACUGCGAGGACAAGGCCCCAAGACUUCCAGGGACUUGGCCCCACAGGGAGGACCUGGGCUUCUGGGUGCUUGGGCUGAGGUUGUGCGGGAAGUCCACAUCCUAGAAAGAACCCAGGCUCCAGACUCCAGAAGGAAUAUCACCCCAAAGUGACCUUUGCAGUGGGCUUGUCCAGCUGGCAGUCACUGCCGCUGCCAUCUGUGCAGAAUCAGCCACUGUGGGGGGGCUAGGCCCUCCUGCCUGGGGCAGCCCUUCCAUAUUGCCCCCGCCCCCUGGCUGAAUUUGGGAGCUCUGUGUGGUCAGCAAAAGCCACUGCUGUCCAGGCUGGUGCUGUGAGAAUUAAGUGCUCAGAGGGCCCGGGCGUCCAGGAGACAAGAAAGUGUGUGGUUUCAGUAUGUUCAAAAGGGACAAUCGCUUGCAGUUAGUAGAUCUAGCGAUCUAGUUGGGAGAUAAUGGUGUUUACCCCAUAUGAAGUAUUCAAUAGUUCUACUUGUGAAUUUGUAUUUAUUUUGAGUUAUACUUGACACAGAAUUCCUUUUUUUUUUUUUUUUUAAAGAAAAAUACUAUGUGUGUAUUUUGAAAAGAAAAUUCAUGGAUGUUAAAAUUUCUGCAUGGUUUCCAAUUUUUCUCACAACACUGAAUUUGUUACCUUCUCCCGAAAGAUCUUCACAGUGAUUUUUGUCUGUAUAUAUUUGAGGGCCUUUU
rnacentral:lncRNA from 1 species